GCGUUCAGGUCGUGUUCGUGGCGGGUGUGUGAGUACGGCCGCCCCCGCCCACGACACGUACAAGGGUGAUAACGUUGAUUCAUCGUCGAACCACCACCACUGUGCCCACCGAGCUCGUACUUAGUUAAUGGGUGCUGCCGGAAAUGCAGAUCAUGAUAACGAGGAAAGGCUGAUAUCUAGAGUGCCAGAGUGGAGGUGUUGAGUCCUCAUAAAUAACAGACCUGCCAGUCAUCACGCGCGGGAAGGGGGGCGGCGGAAGGACUGACGUCAUGGAAAUCGAUGGCCGGUAACCUACUGGAGGACAUGCAGGCAA